rnacentral:rRNA from 1 species
CGUGAGAUGUUUGGGUUAAGUCCCGCAACGAGCGCAACCCCUAUUGUUAGUUGCCAUCAUUCAGUUGGGCACUCUAGCGAGACUGCCGGUAAUAAACCGGAGGAAGGUGGGGAUGACGUCAAAUCAUCAUGCCCCUUAUGACCUGGGCUACACACGUGCUACAAUGGUUGGUACAACGAGUUGCGAGUCGGUGACGGCAAGCUAAUCUCUUAAAGCCAAUCUCAGUUCGGAUUGUAGGCUGCAACUCGCCUACAUGAAGU